rnacentral:rRNA from 1 species
CUCCUGGAAACGGGUGGUAAUGCCGGAUGUUCCAGUUGAUCGCAUGGUCUUCUGGGAAAGCUUUCGCGGUAUGGGAUGGGGUCGCGUCCUAUCAGCUUGACGGCGGGGUAACGGCCCACCGUGGCUUCGACGGGUAGCCGGCCUGAGAGGGCGACCGGCCACAUUGGGACUGAGAUACGGCCCAGACUCCUACGGGAGGCAGCAGUGGGGAAUAUUGCACAAUGGGCGCAAGCCUGAUGCAGCGACGCCGCGUGAGGGAUGGAGGCCUUCGGGUUGUAAACCUCUUUUAUCGGGGAGCAAGCGUGAGUGAGUUUACCCGUUGAAUAAGCACCGGCUAACUACGUGCCAGCAGCCGCGGUAAUACGUAGGGCGCAAGCGUUAUCCGGAAUUAUUGGGCGUAAAGGGCUCGUAGGCGGUUCGUCGCGUCCGGUGUGAAAGUCCAUCGCUUAACGGUGGAUCCGCGCCGGGUACGGGCGGGCUUGAGUGCGGUAGGGGAGACUGGAAUUCCCGGUGUAACGGUGGAAUGUGUAGAUAUCGGGAAGAACACC